rnacentral:lncRNA from 1 species
AUGCUGAGCCGGAGCUGCCCCUUCCUCCUAGCGAAUCAUCGAGUGCAGAGUCGAGCGAGGACCGUGCCGCUUCUGGUUACGCGUGGCACAAGUCUCGUGCUGGGUGACAAAGUUUCCCUCCUACUGCAAAGCGAAGCAACAUUUUCCACCUCUCGGCUCCUCCCACAGAUUCCCAGAGGUCUGAUCCCCGGAAACACACCCACACUGCGAUGGAAGCCCCGGGUAAAUGGCUCGGGUGAUCCAGAUUUGCUUCCUGGAACUCGGUCGCCCUGCGGCGUGGGGACCCGCAUCCCGCUCCAAAGAGACCUAUGGCCGGGUGAGUGCGGGCUUUUCUCCACGACCGGGGUCUUUUCAUAUUCAUCAAGGGUUGCGCCGCUGAGGUCCUGAGACCACAGGAGGAAAUGGGUGCGUCGCAGCCUGGAAACCAGGGCGAACACGCCACGUGCUCCCGGGCCUUCGGAGCCACUAGCUGCAGAUCCAUCCGGCACUGCCGGCUUCUCUAGGCUCCGACAGUGCGACCAUGGCUUCUGCGAUGAGUGAAGGGAGCUCUUCUGCUCCUGCUCACAGUGUGAAGACCGGGUGACCCCAAAGAUCACUCCGGCUCUCUGAAGAUGACAUCAGCCCAUCUGCGCCCUGCAAUCAGUAAUGCACAGAUGCUGCACAGAGAAUGACGUGAUAGGGGUCGCUUUGACAAGACACCAUGGGGCAGUUGAGGCGGUGGCUUUUGCCCGGCUCCCUGCUCUCAGAGGAGGUGACCUGGAUAGAGACCAUUAGUUAGGAAAGGGCCUGUCUGUCCAUGAGAGACAACCUAGGUUCAGCUGUCUCCUGGGUUUCCACAUUUCCAGGCUACUUCCUGCAAAUGAGGUAAAACCCUACGGUGGAGGGGGAGGGGGGAAGGGGAGGGGUGUCCCGGUUCACCGGCAUGCUUUCAAGCCAAUAAGCAGCGUCUGCAGGGCUCUGGAAGAACCUGUCUAGGAUCUACACUCAAGCAGCUCGAUUUUGUCCCCACCCAGGGUGUAGGUUUCUUGCCCAGCUCCUUGCUAAAAGGACUUCCAGAGGCUCUGAUAGACAUCAUUCUACUGAAUGUUCAGAUUGCUCCUUAGAAGCAGAAGUGAAGGCUUUUGGGGCACGGGAGGGGGCAUCUCAGCCACUAGAAAAUACCAUUCCAGGACUGUCAAGUAAAUGUUCUCCCUGUAGCUUGAAAUCUUCAUCUUGAUUGAUUUGCCAGAAUACAUAAUUGGUACCAUGUGAUGAGUAAGAAAGGGCUUUGAAAGAAGUAAUCAGAAGAGCCAAACUGACAGGGAAAGACUGGGGCGGGGCCACGAUGCUCCUUAUAUCACCUGCUUUGAUUCAGCCCUUCAUACUCUGUGUGUGUGUGUGUGUGUGUGUAUGUGUGUGUGUGUGUGUGUGUGUGUGUCAGAGGUAGGUAUUAGGAUAUCUUCUUCAAUCCUCUCUCCACCUUAUUUUUAAAGACAGGGUCUCUCAUAGAUCCAGAUUUCAGUUAGGUAGGCUGGGCAGAGAGCCCCUGGAAUCCACCUAUGUUUGUGCCCCACAGUGCCAGAGUUACUUAAACCACCCCCACCCCCACCCCCCCACCCCCGACCAAGAAGGGCUGUUUUUAUGAGCAGCAUUUAGCAAUUGUUAUAAUGUAUACUUUUGUCAGUGAUUUGUGUAAAUAUGUAUAAUCUUUCGUCAAUAAAGUAUUCUCUUGAUUUUACUUUUUGGGGUGU